AGUGAACGCUGGCGGUAGGCCUAACACAUGUAAGUCGAACGGCAGCACAGUAAGAGCUUGCUCUUACGGGUGGCGAGUGGCGGACGGGUGAGGAAUACAUCGGAAUCUACUUUUUCGUGGGGGAUAACGUAGGGACACUUACGCUAAUACCGCAUACGACCUACGGGUGAAAGCAGGGGAUCUUCGGACCUUGCGCGAUUGAAUGAGCCGAUGUCGGAUUAGCUAGUUGGCGGGGUAAAGGCCCACCAAGGCGACGAUCCGUAGCUGGUCUGAGAGGAUGAUCAGCCACACUGGAACUGAGACACGGUCCAGACUCCUACGGGAGGCAGCAGUGGGGAAUAUUGGACAAUGGGCGCAAGCCUGAUCCAGCCAUACCGCGUGGGUGAAGAAGGCCUUCGGGUUGUAAAGCCCUUUUGUUGGGAAAGAAAAGCAGCAGGUUAAUACCCCGCUGUUCUGACGGUACCCAAAGAAUAAGCACCGGCUAACUUCGUG
rnacentral:rRNA from 1 species